AUGGCAGGACAAGCAUUUAGAAAGUUUCUUCUACUCUUUGACAGAGUAUUUGUUGAAAGGAUUGCCACCACAACUGUAACCAAAGGAGGCAUUAUGCUUCCAGAAAAAUCUCAAGGAAAAGUAUUGCAAGCAAAAGGAGUAGCUGUUGGAUCAGGUUCUAAAGGAAAGGGUGGAGAGAUUCAACCAGUUAGCAUGAGAGUUGGAGAUAAAUUUCUUCUCCUAGAAUAUGGAGGCACCAGAGUAGUUCUAGAUGACAAGGAUUAUUUCUUAUUUAGAGACGAUGGUGCAUUCUUGGGAAGUAUGUAGACUGA
rnacentral:lncRNA from 1 species